CUUUCCUCUCCUCCACAGCUAAGCUCCGCCCCCAACAUAUAAUGGUGACAUCAUCACAGGUCCUAGAUCUCCAGCAUCUAGCAGUCCUGUCCAGGGGAGGAGAUGGAGGAAGGAUUUGGUGGUAAAAUAGUCAUGUAAUUACAAAGUACUAUUGGUGCUACAAAAAACAAGCCUCAUAUGGAUCUGUAGGUGGAAAAUGUAAAGCAUUAUGGCUAGUAGAAGUUCUACAGAUUUUUCUGAAAAAAGAAAAAAAAAAUGAAUUCUCAAGUUUCCGAGGAGCUUCAAGCCUGCAUAAACAAAAUGAGGGAAAUAAUGGAGUAUGUGGAGACUCUAGAGAAAAUGAUGGCUUGUCCAGAAGGAGAAGUCAGGGAGGAGACACCAGAAGAGGAAGAGGAGAAAGAGGAGAUGGGGUGGAUUGAAACGAUAACAUCUUUCUUCUGUUGCUGUUUCUAUUACAAAUAAGACGGUGAUCGGAGCAGUAUUUUAUAGGUGGCAGGGACGUCAGAUCUGAACUUGAGCGAAACAUCUAGGUGAAUUGUGCAAGGAAGCCAAAUAAGCUGAUGAAAAAAGAGGCCAGCAUAGUCCUGCACACUUCAACUCUUAUAGAAUAUUUAAGUUCAGAGGAUCCCACAAGGAUUGAGAAGUCAGGUCUUACCUGUUCUAUUGCAGAACAACACCGAUUAUCUGCAAAAAUGGGAGGCAUUAUGUAAAGGACACUCACUGGAUGUGAUGUAUCUUACGGUAACACUGGCAAGUGGCUGUAAAGGAUAUAAAGAAAGAGACUGCCAUACGCAAUGAGGAUUAAAAAAAAAACAAAAAAAAAAACAGGAACCGCAGAGGCUGUUGAAACAACGCCCCAAGAAUUGAGGGUUAACAUAGAGAAACUGCGCACAUCCAUCUUGCAGGUCAAACUUUCUAAAGGGACACUAAGGACUAUCUCCUGGAUGGUGUCUACUCAUGGACAGAUGAAAGGAGACAGAUCCGUCACAAGUGGAGAGAACAAAAGAAUGAGUUUGAUGCCUUGGAGUACGCUUCUGCUGACCCUGAAAGAAGCCGUAAUGUAAAGGUGUCUGAAAGAUCUAGUCAGGAUUUUUUGGAGACACGUCCAAAGAAUCCCAAAAAGAAAAAAGUAACAAAGUAAGUGGAGAAGAGGGAGCGCAGACCAGAGCAUGAGGACGUGACAAGCAUCAAAAGCUGACGUGAGAUCUUACGAUACUUGUUUGUUUAUUUAAUAUGGUGUUGGGUGCACUAAUGCCAUGCUUGACAAUGGGGGCGGUGGCUCCAGAAAUGUUGCCGAACACUCAGUCCACAGUGAUCUGCAAACUAGACGGCUGAAUCUAGGAGGCUCCGUGCAGAGUAAAGGAAUCCGUGACGUGACUUCACCUGGAUCAUUCUUUGUUUAUGUACAAGACAUGAUUGGAUUUAUUGUUCAUGAUGAAAAUUGAAUAAAACUCUGUCAUCAUC